rnacentral:rRNA from 1 species
GAUGAACGCUGGCGGCGUGCCUAAUACAUGCAAGUCGAGCGAACGGACGAGAAGCUUGCUGCUCUGAUGUUUGCGGCGGACGGGUGAGUAACACGUGUAUAACCUACCUAUAAGACUGGUAUAACUUCGGGAAACCGGCGCUAAUACCGUAUAAUAUUUUGAACCGCGUGGUUCAAAAGUGAGAGUCGGUCUUUCUGGCACUUAUAGCUGGAUCCGCGCUGCAUUAGAUAGUUGUUGAGGUAACGGCUUACCAAGGCAACGAUGCAUAGCCGACCUGAGAGAGUGAUAGCCGACACUGGAAGUUAGACGGCGACAAUGGGCCUAAGGUACGCACCAGUAGGGAAUCUUACGCAAUGGGCGAGAGCCUGACGGAGCAAGGCGACGUGAGUGACGAAGAUCUUCGGAUCGUAAAACUCUGUUAUUAGGGAAGAACCUAUGUGUAAGUAACUGUGCCCAUCUUGACGGUACCUAAUCAGAAAGCACCGGCUAACUACGUG